GAAAGGGAAACGAUUGAAGUCAGUCGUACCGACGAGAAAUCAACUUAUCGUGUGCGAACUUGUGGGCGUGCGUGUGUUUCGGCCUCGCUGUUUGCAUGUUUGUGCGUUUUGGGUGUACUUUUUCGUAUGGUAGGCCAACGUCAGUUUCGAUUAUCAUAAAAUGACCGGCGGAAUGUAGCUUCGAUUUCGGUUGAAGUGUUAUAGCCUCUGGUAGAUGUGGUGAUUGAGACUGAGGAUUGCAACGAAUACCCUUUGGGCUAUCCGUCUGGCCUCUGAAAGUUGCUCAGGUGCCGAAAGCGUGCUUACGGUUAUCUAAGAUAACGUUCAACAGGUUAGAACGUGAUUACAUUCGUUAAGGAUGUUGACGUA
rnacentral:rRNA from 1 species